UCCACCAUAGAAAGUUAAACCUCCAAUAUUAAACCUUGAUUUCAAGCCUUGAUAGAGGACUUGACAACAAAAAAAAAAAGAAAGGAAGAAGUUUGAAGGAAAGAAAUUCUGCACUAAGUUGAAAAGAAUAUCGGGAAGGAACCCGAGGAAACGAGUCGAGGUUAAGGGACGACUCGCUUGAGAUAAGAGCAAGGAAAAAGCAGCAGAGUGAGCUGCUACUGAGUUGAAGAUCACAUCAAGCUUUUGUACGGGUAUUGUUUUAUACCCUUAUGGUUAUUUUGAUGUAAAUACUGUAAUGUCAUAAGUAUCAAUGUAAAUUGAGCAGUUGUAAAUAAAUUGUAAUAAUAUU